rnacentral:SRP_RNA from 1 species
GAUGGGCAUGGUGGCACAUGCCUGUAGUUCCAGAUAUUCAGGAGGCUUAGGUAGGAGGAUCAUUUUAGCCCAGAAGUUCUGGUCUAUAGUGAGCUACGCCAAUCAGUGUCCACACUAAGUUUAGCAUCAAUAUGGUGCACUCCUUAGAGCAGGGACUACCAGGUUGCCUCCAGAGGGGUGUAACUUGGAAAUGGCCAACUUGGAAAUGGAGCAGAUCAAAACUCUAGUGCUGAUCUGUAGUGGGAUUACAUGUAUGAAUAGCCACUGUACUCCAGCCUGGGCAACAUAGGCAGAUUUCU